rnacentral:misc_RNA from 1 species
AAGUCGUAACAAGGUCUCCGUAGGUGAACCUGCGGAGGGAUCAUUCACAUGAUUACUUUAUUAAACAAACUGUGAACUUUAUAUACUAUUCGUGUUUUUUGUGUUGGUUUUAUUACUUUCACAUUAAACAUUGUCAUUCGUUGAACAUAAGAUAGUUGGCUUGAAUUUUAUUAUUCUUUCUCAGCUUUGAUUUGACUGAAAAUUAAACACUUUCUCUCAAUCAACCAUAAACAUAGAAACAACUCUAUGCCCUGGAUAUCUUGGUUCUC